AUACGGAGGGGGCAAGCGUUGUUCGGAAUUACUGGGCGUAAAGGGCGCGUAGGCGGAUUAUCAAGUCAGAGGUGAAAGCCCUGGGCUCAACCUGGGAACUGCCUUUGAAACUGAUAGUCUUGAGGCCGGAAGAGGAUGGCGGAAUUCCCAGUGUAGAGGUGAAAUUCGUAGAUAUUGGGAAGAACACCAGUGGCGAAGGCGGCCAUCUGGUCCGGUUCUGACGCUGAGGCGCGAAAGCGUGGGGAGCAAACAGGAUUAGAAACCCCGGUAGUCC
rnacentral:rRNA from 1 species